UACGAAGGGGGCUAGCGUUGCUCGGAAUCACUGGGCGUAAAGGGCGCGUAGGCGGCCGAUUAAGUCGGGGGUGAAAGCCUGUGGCUCAACCACAGAAUUGCCUUCGAUACUGGUUGGCUUGAGACCGGAAGAGGACAGCGGAACGUGCGAGUGUAGAGGUGAAAUUCGUAGAUAUUCGCAAGAACACCAGUGGCGAAGGCGGCUGUCUGGUCCGGUUCUGACGCUGAGGCGCGAAAGCGUGGGGAGCAAACAGG
rnacentral:rRNA from 1 species